CUUGACCUCAAAUCAGGUGGGACUACCCGCUGAACUUAAGCAUAUCAAUAAGCGGAGGAAAAGAAACUAACAAGGAUUCCCCUAGUAACUGCGAGUGAAGCGGGAAAAGCUCAAAUUUAAAAUCUGGCGGCUCAGGUCGUCCGAGUUGUAGUCUGGAGAAGCGUUUUCCGCGYUGGACCGUGUACAAGUCUCCUGGAACGGAGCGUCGUAGAGGGUGAGAAUCCCGUCUUUGACACGGACCCCAGUGCUUUGUGAUGCGCUCUCAAAGAGUCGAGUUGUUUGGGAAUGCAGCUCAAAAUGGGUGGUGAAUUCCAUCUAAAGCUAAAUAUUGGCGAGAGACCGAUAGCGAACAAGUACCGUGAGGGAAAGAUGAAAAGCACUUUGGAAAGAGAGUUAAACAGUACGUGAAAUUGUUGAAAGGGAAACGCUUGAAGUCAGUCGCGUCGUCCAGGACUCAGCCUCACGGUGUACUUCCUGGUUGACGGGCCAGCAUCAGUUUUGACCGCGAGAUAAAGGCGUAGGGAAUGUGGCCUCUUCGGGAGUGUUAUAGCCCUUCGUCARAUGUCGUGGUUGGGACUGAGGACCGCAGCUUUUUUGCUUAGGAUGCUGGCGUAAUGGCUUUAAACGACCNDUCUUGAAACACGGACCAAGGAGUCUAACAUGCCUGCGAGUGUUCGGGUGGAAAACCCGUGCGCGUAAUGAAAGUGAAAGUUGGGAUCCCUGUCGUGGGGUGCACCGACGCCCGGACCAGACCUUCUGUGACGGAUCUGCGGUAGAGCAUGUAUGUUGGGACCCGAAAGAUGGUGAACUAUGCCUGAAUAGGGUGAAGCCAGAGGAAACUCUGGUGGAGGCUCGUAGCGAUUCUGACGUGCAAAUCGAUCGUCAAAUUUGGGUAUAGGGGCGAAAGACUAAUCGAACCAUCUAGUAGCUGGU
rnacentral:rRNA from 1 species